UGGGGAAUAUUGGACAAUGGGCGCAAGCCUGAUCCAGCCAUGCCGCGUGAGUGAUGAAGGCCCUAGGGUUGUAAAGCUCUUUCACCGGUGAAGAUAAUGACGGUAACCGGAGAAGAAGCCCCGGCUAACUUCGUGCCAGCAGCCGCGGUAAUACGAAGGGGGCUAGCGUUGUUCGGAUUUACUGGGCGUAAAGCGCACGUAGGCGGACUUUUAAGUCAGGGGUGAAAUCCCGGGGCUCAACCCCGGAACUGCCUUUGAUACUGGAAGUCUUGAGUAUGGUAGAGGUGAGUGGAAUUCUGAGUGUAGAGGUGAAAUUCGUAGAUAUUCGGAGGAACACCAGUGGCGAAGGCGGCUCACUGGACCAUUACUGACGCUGAGGUGCGAAAGCGUGGGGAGCAAACAGG
rnacentral:rRNA from 2 species